rnacentral:rRNA from 1 species
GAUGAACGCUGGCGGCGUGCCUAAUACAUGCCAGUCGAGCGAACGGACGAGAAGCUUGCUUCUCUGAUGUUAGCGGCGGACGGGUGAGUAACACGUGGAUAACCUACCUAUAAGACUGGGAUAACUUCGGGAAACCGGAACUAAUACCGGAUGAUAUUUUGAACCGCAUGGUUCAAAAGUGAAAGACGGUCUUGCUGUCACUUAUAGAUGGAUCCGCGCUGCAUUAGCUAGUUGGUAAGGUAACGGCUUACCAAGGCAACGAUGCAUAGCCGACCUGAGAGGGUGAUCGGCCACACUGGAACUGAGACACGGUCCAGACUCCUACGGGAGGCAGCAGUAGGGAAUCUUCCGCAAUGGGCGAAAGCCUGACGGAGCAACGCCGCGUGAGUGAUGAAGGUCUUCGGAUCGUAAAACUCUGUUAUUAGGGAAGAACAUAUGUGUAAGUAACUGUGCACAUCUUGACGGUACCUAAUCAGAAAGCCACGGCUAACUACGUG